CUCCUGGGGAUAUAGAGUGGAUAGGAGAGGAUCCUGGGGUUGGUAAUCGAUAUGGUUAUAAUGGCCAAGGUCAUGGACUGAAUAGAACUACCGGACCCAACAGUGUUCCACAACGAGGAAGCAGUUUGGCGAAGAACACUAUCAGAAAGGAUUUCAGAACAUCACAAAAUGGAACUGGGAAGAAGAAACAUCACGAUAUACGGAUCCGUCAAACAAAUGUCCUAAUCAGAGAGGUGGAGAGGGUUCUUCGUGCACACAAUCCAGAUCCUCAAGAAGUUGAAAGGGCUAAGAGAAUUUUGGAGGAGCAAGAGCAUGCACUUGUGGGCGCAAUAGCAAAACUUGGAGAUAUUUCCGAUGGAGAAAACGGCAAG